UACAUAGGCUUCAAGCGUUGUCCGGAUUUAUUGGGCGUAAAGAGUUCGUAGGCGGUCGAGUAAGUCGGGUGUGAAAAUUCUGGGCUCAACCCAGAGACGCCACCCGAUACUGCUUAACUUGAGUUCGAUAGGGGAGUGGGGAAUUCCUAGUGUAGCGGUGAAAUGCGCAGAUAUUAGGAGGAACACCGGUGGCGAAGGCGCCACUCUGGAUCGAUACUGACGCUGAGGAACGAAAGCAUGGGUAGCAAACAGG
rnacentral:rRNA from 1 species